GUUUCAUGUUGAUGCUGAUGGUUAUUUGAGGUUCAGAAAUCAAAUAUGUGUUCAGUGAAAUCCAGAGUUGAUUCAGAUGAUUUUGAACGAAGCUCACAGCAGUUGAUUAUCUGUUCACCUGGGUAGUACGAAAAUGUAUAAUGAUCUGAAACAGUUUUACUGGUUGCAUGGUAUGAAACGAGAUAUUUCUGACUUUGUUUUGAAAUGUUUAGUCUGUCAGCAAGUAAAAGUCGAGCAUCAGGUACCUUCUGGAUUGCUUCAACCAAUCAUGAUACGUGAGUGGAAGUGGGACAAAGUCACGAUGGAUUUUGUAUCUGGUUUGCCAUUAACACUGAGUAAGAAAAUGCAAUCUAGGUUACUAUGGAUAGAUUGACUAAAUCAGUUCAUUUUGUUCCAGUUCGCACAGAUUACUCGCUUGAUAAGCUAGUUGAAUUGUAUGUUUCUCAAAUUGUGAGAUUACACGGAGUACCUAUUUCUAUUGUUUCGGAUAGAGAUCUGAGGUUUACAUUGCAGUUUUGGAAGAAACUGCAAGAUGCACUAGGUACGAAAUUACAUUUCAACACUGCUUUCCAUCCGCAAAUAAAUGGUCAGUCUGAACGAAUCAUUCAAAUACUUGAGGAUAUGCUGAAAUGUUGCAUUCUCGAGUUUGAAGGUAUGUGGGAACGAUACUUACUUCUGAUUGAAUUUGCGUACAAUAAUAGCUUUCAAUCGAGUAUCAAAAUGGCAUUUAUGAGGCUUUGUACGGUCAUAAAUGUCGUACACCAUUGUAUUGGACUGAGCUCAGUGAAAAUAAGUUACAUGGGGUCGAUUUGAUUAGAGAGACUAAACACAAAGUGAAAGUGAUUCGUGAAAGUCUAAAAAUAGUGUCAAAUCGUCAGAAAUCGUAUAUGGACUUGAAACGAAAAGAUAUAGAGUUUCAGAUCGGGGACAAAUUAUUUUUGAAAGUUUCACUAUGGAAGAAAAUACUCAGAUUCGAUUGUAAAGGCAAAUUCAGUCCAAGAUUUAUUGGGCCGUAUGAGAUUAUAGAGUGUAUCGGGCCCGUUCUUAUAGACUGUUGUUGCCACCUGAGUUAGAAAAUAUCUAUAAUGUAUUCCAUGUUUCGAUGCUUCAUAGAUAUUGAUAUGAUCCCUCACAUGUGAUUAACCCAUCAGAGAUUGAGAUUAAGUCUGAUAUGACAUAUGAGGAAGAACCGAUUCGUAUUCUGGUUCGUGAAGUUAAAGAAUUGUGAAAUAAGAAAAUUGAAUUAGUAAAAGUAUUGUGGCAUAGACAUGGAGUUGAAGAGGCAACGUUGGAGCCAGAGGAUGCAAAGAAAGAACAUUAUCCAAACUUAUUCACUAAUUUUGGAGUCUAGUUACGAGCUCAAGGAUCGUCAGCAAAGUCUAUCACACUAUCAACUGUUUUCGGUACUUUAUAAGUUUGAACUUGAACCUAUGACAUGUAUAGGCUAAAUUAUAUUUUUCUAAGUUUGAAGUUGUGUAUAUAUAUUAAGCCAUACGAAAAUGGCUAAUAUGUUAUGUAAGUAUUUAAAAUUUUAGUUAAGUUUAUAUGUAUCAUAUGCCUUGAAAAUGGUUGGUGAUUUUGGAUGUGGUUUGUUUGAAUCGGCCAUGGUAUAUACAUAAGUAUGAAUUAUGCUUGUUAUGUUACUCAUGGUUAAAA